rnacentral:snoRNA from 1 species
AUCCUUCAGUUUCCUUACUUCUUCAGAUCUAAACACUGGACUGAGAGGUUAUAAAAGGAAGAAAAGUAAUGCUGAAACUGACUUCAGUUCUUCUGUGACACAUGAGUUCACUUCAAACCAAC